ACCUACGGGAGGCAGCAGUGGGGAAUAUUGGACAAUGGGCGAAAGCCUGAUCCAGCAAUGCCGCGUGAGUGAUGAAGGCCCUAGGGUUGUAAAGCUCUUUUACCCGGGAUGAUAAUGACAGUACCGGGAGAAUAAGCUCCGGCUAACUUCGUGCCAGCAGCCGCGGUAAUACGAGGGGAGCUAGCGUUGUUCGGAAUUACUGGGCGUAAAGCGCGCGUAGGCGGUUUUUUAAGUCAGAGGUGAAAGCCCGGGGCUCAACCCCGGAAUUGCCUUUGAAACUGGAAAACUAGAAUCUUGGAGAGGUCAGUGGAAUUCCGAGUGUAGAGGUGAAAUUCGUAGAUAUUCGGAAGAACACCAGUGGCGAAGGCGACUGACUGGACAAGUAUUGACGCUGAGGUGCGAAAGCGUGGGGAGCAAACAGGAUUAGAUACCCCAGUAGUC
rnacentral:rRNA from 1 species